CAGUAGCCGCGGGAACACGGAGGGUGCAAGCGUUAAUCGGAAUUACUGGGCGUAAAGCGUGCGUAAGCGGUUUGUUAAGUCUGCUGUGAAAUCCCCGGGCUCAACCUGGGAAUGGCAGUGGAUACUGGCAAGCUAGAGUGUGUCAGAGGAUGGUGGAAUUCCCGGUGUAGCGGUGAAAUGCGUAGAGAUCUGGAGGAACAUCAGUGGCGAAGGCGGCCAUCUGGGACAACACUGACGCUGAGGCACGAAAGCGUGGGGAGCAAACAGGAUUAGAUACCCGAGUAGUCCCUGUCUCUUAUAC
rnacentral:rRNA from 1 species